GAUAACGUUGUGUUGGAUUGAUGUUGCACCCAAGUUAAUGACCUAGCCGCCAUUCUAUAGCGCCAUCUGGUUCAAGGUGGCAACCAGGCUCGCCUGGUGCCAGGUUGGUGCCUGAGGGGGCACUCGAACGGGGGUGUAGGCAGCGUGGGCUUGCGAAGGGGGGCCGAGGAGGCUAGGGGCGCCAUGCACCAGCCCCCACCACCCCGACCACCGGCCGGCUGAGAACCCGGAGUGUUGUAGGAGCUAGCCCCCAAACCAAAGUAGAACCAUGGGCCGGUGGGCCGUGGGGGCCCGCCACUGUGGAAGCCGCCAUCGCUAGGGGGCGCCUGGAAGCCACCGCCACCCUUCUUGUAUUGCCACUUCUUCUUGCUAUCGCAGCCACCGCUACUGGUGCUGCCACUGCUGCUAAUCUAGAAAGAACUAGACAACGGGUGACACCCGCCCGUACAACUAGAGGAUGAAGACAACAAAGAGUUCCUGGCUAGAAGGGUAGUGGAGUUGGAGAUAUUCUCCUCGUGGGCGAGGCGAAGUUCCUUCAGAGUGAGCAUGCCCUGUGCUUGG
rnacentral:lncRNA from 1 species